GAUGAACGCUGGCGGCGUGCCUAAUACAUGCAAGUCGAGCGAACGGACGAGAAGCUUGCUUCUCUGAUGUUAGCGGCGGACGGGUGAGUAACACGUGGAUAACCUACCUAUAAGACUGGGAUAACUUCGGGAAACCGGAGCUAAUACCGGAUGAUAUUUUGAACCGCAUGGUUCAAAAGUGAAAGACGGUCUUGCUGUCACUUAUAGAUGGAUCCGCGCUGCAUUAGCUAGUUGGUAAGGUAACGGCUUACCAAGGCAACGAUGCAUAGCCGACCUGAGAGGGUGAUCGGCCACACUGGAACUGAGACUCGGUCCAGACUCCUACGGGAGGCAGCAGUAGGGAAUCUUCCGCAAUGGGCGAAAGCCUGACGGAGCAACGCUGCGUGAGUGAUGAAGGUCUUCGGAUCGUAAAACUCUGUUAUUAGGGAAGAACAUAUGUGUAAGUAACUGUGCACAUCUUGACGGUACCUAAUCAGAAAGCCACGGCUAACUACGUG
rnacentral:rRNA from 1 species